rnacentral:rRNA from 1 species
CCUACGGGUGGCAGCAGUGAGGAAUAUUGGUCAAUGGACGAGAGUCUGAACCAGCCAAGUAGCGUGAAGGAUGACUGCCCUAUGGGUUGUAAACUUCUUUUAUAUGGGAAUAAAAUGUUCCACGUGUGGGUUUUUGUAUGUACCAUAUGAAUAAGGAUCGGCUAACUCCGUGCCAGCAGCCGCGGUAAUACGGAGGAUCCGAGCGUUAUCCGGAUUUAUUGGGUUUAAAGGGAGCGUAGGUGGAUUGUUAAGUCAGUUGUGAAAGUUUGCGGCUCAACCGUAAAAUUGCCGUUGAAACUGGCAGUCUUGAGUACAGUAGAGGUGGGCGGAAUGCGUGGUGUAGCGGUGAAAUGCUUAGAUAUCACGAAGAACUCCGAUUGCGAAGGCAGCUCACUGGACUGCAACUGACACUGAGGCUCGAAAGUGUGGGUAUCAAACAGGAUUAGAUACCCGUGUAGUC